rnacentral:rRNA from 1 species
UACGAAGGGGGCGAGCGUUAUUCGGAAUCACUGGGCGUAAAGCGUGCGUAGGCUGUUUUGUAAGUCAGGAGUGAAAGCCCAAGGCUCAACCUUGGAAUUGCUUUUGAAACUGCAAGACUUGAAUCUCGGAGAGGAUAGCGGAAUUUCCAGUGUAGCAGUGAAAUGCGUAGAUAUUGGAAGGAACACCAGUGGCGUAAGCGGCUAUCUGGACGAGUAUUGACGCUGAGGCACGAAAGCGUGGGGAUCAAACAGG